rnacentral:rRNA from 1 species
UCGCCCUCAAAUCAGGUAGGACUACCCGCUGAACUUAAGCAUAUCAA